rnacentral:misc_RNA from 1 species
UACGAGGGCUCCAAGCGUUAUCCGGAAUCAUUGGGUUUAAAGGGUCCGUAGGCGGGACAGUAAGUCAGUGGUGAAAGUCUGCAGCUCAACUGUAGAACUGCCAUUGAUACUGUAGACCUUGAAUUAUUAUGAAGUGGUUAGAAUAUGUAGUGUAGCGGUGAAAUGCAUAGAUAUUACAUAGAAUACCGAUUGCGAAGGCAGAUCACUAAUAAUGUACUGACGCUGAGGGACGAAAGCGUAGGUAGCGAACAGG